UAAAGAAUUUCGGUAUGGGAUGGGGAUGCGUUCCAUUAGUUAGUUGGCGGGGUAACGGCCCACCAAGACAACGAUGGAUAGGGGUUCUGAGAGGAAGGUCCCCCACAUUGGAACUGAGACACGGUCCAAACUCCUACGGGAGGCAGCAGUGAGGAAUAUUGGUCAAUGGACGAGAGUCUGAACCAGCCAAGUAGCGUGAAGGAUGACUGCCCUAUGGGUUGUAAACUUCUUUUAUAUGGGAAUAAAACGUUCCACGUGUGGAAUUUUGUAUGUACCAUAUGAAUAAGGAUCGGCUAACUCCGUGCCAGCAGCCGCGGUAAUACGGAGGAUCCGAGCGUUAUCCGGAUUUAUUGGGUUUAAAGGGAGCGUAGGUGGAUUGUUAAGUCAGUUGUGAAAGUUUGCGGCUCAACCGUAAAAUUGCAGUUGAAACUGGCAGUCUUGAGUACAGUAGAGGUGGGCGGAAUUCGUGGUGUAGCGGUGAGAUGCUUAGAUAUCACGAAGAACUCCGAUUGCGAAGGCAGCUCACUGGACUGCAACUGACACUGAGGCUCGAAAGUGUGGGUAUCAAACAGGAUUAGAUACCCUGGUAGUCCACACAGUAAACGAUGAAUACUCGCUGUUUGCGAUAUACAGCAA
rnacentral:rRNA from 1 species